AGCUUUUAAGAUUUAGAUUUUUAUAAAACUGAAUUGAAAUUAUUACAACAUCCGUUUGAAAUGUAAACGAACAGAAUUCGAAUCUAAUGCUACCAAGGACAAGUGAUAGCCAUAACUGGAACGCAAGUACAUCUUCAAAUCCAACUCCCGCCGUACGAAGCAACAUCAGUAUCCAACAUCCACGUAAGGUGCAGAAGUGUAGUAUGAGUACAACCGAUUUCAUGUGCUCAAUAAGUAACAAACCUAACCUUAGGUUGAAAGUAGUGACGAGUUGGGGCAAGGGUCAGAGUCCAACUCCAAUAACCAGCAACAGUUCAUAAUAAUCAUAAUAAAAAUAGUGCCAGAAGAUAACCCAGAAGUAUGAUGCUCAACUCGCUCACAGUUACGGGAAAAUAGGUAUGUUUUUCAAAUAAAAUAGUAAAACCCAAAUCUUUUACUGAAAGCACCAAAAUAUGAGUAAGUUUGUAAAAUCGUGAUUUUCUUUCCAAAACUUUUCAACAAGUAAAUGUUUCAUUAUCAAAUGGUACGAAGAAAGUACAUCUCUAUGCCUAUAUGUCAAUGUGUAUGAGCAGUCAUGGAUGACGUGAUACCAUACAACAUGAGAAAAAUGCAUCUCUAUGCAUAUAUGUCAAGUGUGCAUAUCGAAUGCAAUACAACAUAGCGAAUAACCAUAUGCAUAUUCUCAGAGUAUCAAUCCACUCAGUCCUCCCAGUCACUCGGUCCUCCCAAUCACUCACUCCCCACAGUCACUCAAUCCUCCCAAUCGCUCGGCACUCGCACUCGCACUUACAUUCGCACUCAAGAGGUACUUGCGCCCACUGUGAAUGUGCAGACUCCGGAGGGCAAUUCCAGUCCAAUCAUUAUAAUAAGCCAAUCAUGGCAUGAAUCAAAUAAACAUGUUGCGGCGUACAGUCCGAUCCCAUAAAUAUCCUCACAAACAGGCCCUCAGCCUCACUCAGUCAUCAAUCUCUCCAGUCUCUGGGGCUCACAAGAAUCAAGAUAAUCAGACCAAACAGUGAUGAUAUGAUUUAUAAAUAAAGGACAAUAAAGACUGAGAUAUGAUAAGUAAAUAAUAGCUGUGACUAAGUAUAAAUUUCAAAUUAAGCAAUUAAUUCAAAAUGUAACACGGCCUCUACGGGUCCAAACAGUGCCAACAUGUGGCUUAAGCAUAAUUUCUAACAUGGAUCACAGCUCAAUUACUCUAGCACGUAGAGAUUUCAUGGUUACAAAUAAGAUUAGGUAACUAUGCAGUACUACAGAAAUAACUUAAUCACAAUUCACACGGCGCACGCCCACUCGCCCGUCACCUAGCAUGUGCGUCACCUCAGCACCAAACACAUAUCACGCAUAUUCAGGGGUUCAUACCUCAGCAUCAAGUUUAGAAGUGUUACUUACAUCGAACAAGCCAAAUCCAAUACCGAGCAAGCCAAACGAUACUCCUAAAAUGCCAUUUCGCGCGUACCGACCUCCGAACGGCUCGAAACUAGCUAAAAGCAACUCAAAUACAUCAAAUAAUACCUAAGGAAAUAAUUCUAUAUGAUAAAGGUCGAAUCUUUAAUCAAAAGCCCAAAGUCAACCAAAAAUUCAAAUCCGGGCCCGCACCUCGGAACCCGCCAAAGCUUACAAAAUCCAACAACCUAUUCGAUUACGAGUCUAACCAUACUAUUUUCACUCAAAUUCGACUCUGAAUCGAUGUUCAAAACUCAAAAAUUCACUCUAUGAAACUUUAGACAAAAUCCCCCAAAUUCUCUCUUGAAACCCUCAAUCAAAUGCAAAAAACGAAGAUAGAUUCAUGAUAUAAAAUAAAAAAUGAGUAGAGAACAUUUACCCCAAUCCACAUGGUGAAAAUCGCUUCAAAAAUCGCUAAAUCCAGAGGUCCCCAACUUAAAAUAUGGAUAAAUGGCUCAACGGUCCGAAAUUGGACAUUAAAUCCACUGCCCAGGCUUCCUUCUUCGCGAUCGCGGACAUCCCUUCGCGAUCGCGAUGAACAAAUUCUUCAACAACAAUUUCCAAACUCUUCCUAGACAACCUCUAGUAUAAUAAUCAUAACUUUUUGUACAAACCUCCAAAUAAUAAAUGGUUUGACUUUAUGAAAACUAGACAUCAAGGGCUACAACUUUUAUUUUUAGAUCAUCUCCAAGUUUCUUAUAGAUUGCAAGAUAUAAACUUCCAAAGUUAGCCCUGUGCAACAUAAAUUUCUCCUAUGCGAUCGCGAAAAGGUUUACGUAAUCGCGAUUCACAAGGCCCUAAACUGCAGUUUUCUCUUCGCGAACGCGACUAAAUGUUCGCGAUCGCGAUGCACACCUCUGUUGCCAAAAAUCAGCAAUUAAAAAUGGUCUGAAACUACCCUGAAACUCACCCGAACCCUCGGGGUUCCACGCCAAACAUAAACACAAGUCUAGAAAUAUCAUGCGAACUUGCUCGCGCGAUCAAAUCACCAAAAUAAUACCUGAAACCAUGAAUCGGACAUCAACACGCAUGAAAUUUGAAGGGAGAACUCAAGAACUUCUAGAAUUGCAACCAAGCGUCUGAAUGCUAUCAAACCGACUCUGAACGACCCCAAAUUUUGCAAGCAAGUUCCAAAUCAUAAAGCAGACCUACUCGAUGUUUCAAAUCUCACUUAACAACAUCAAAAUCACAAAUUGCAUCUCAAAUCGACUUAAUGAAGUUAAUGAACUUUCAAAAUUCAAAACUAACGGCGAACAAGCCUAAACACCUCAGAUUGAUCUCAAAUUUGGAACACAAGUCAUAAAUGACAUAACGGACCUACUAUAACUUCUAAAAUCAAAAUCCGACCCUGAUAUCAGUAAAGUCAAACCUAUGAACAUUUCUAAACCUUCAAAUUUCUAACUUUCGCCAAUUAGUGCUGAAACCCUCUAGAAUUAUCCAAAUACAAAUCCGGGCAUAUGCCCGAGUCCAAAAUCACCAUCCGGACCUAACAGAAUCAUCAAAACUUGGAUCUGAGGUCGAAUACUAAAAAGUCAAACUUGGUCAACUCUAUCAACUUAAAGCUUCAACUAUGAAAUUCAUUCUUCCAAACUAAUUCUGAAACACCUGAAUAUCAACGCCGAUGAUUCACACACAUCAUAAUACAUCAUAUGAAGCUACUCAAGUUAAAAUAGCUGAACGGAAUGUAAAUUCUCAAAACGACUGGUCGGGUCGUUACAAAUAGGUUAGGAUCAUUUUUAAGACAAAAAAAUAAUAUGGAAGGAUGGUAUUUUUAAGCCAAAUUCAAUAUGUUAGGACCAUUUUUUUACCAUUUGAUGUAAAAAUAUGGGAAUUAUAGAGUAUAAAUACACCAUAAGUUUUUAUUGAGUUCUCUUUGGAACUUCUACUUAACACCUUUCGGUUUGUAAAUAAUAAUAUUAGUAUUUGAGUGUAGGCAGGCCUUUUUUAAGCUUAAGCAAGGUGCAGAAGUAUAGUAUGAGUACAACCGAUCCUAUGUACUAAAUAGGUAUCUUGACUAACCUCAGUGAAAUAGUGACGAAGCUUUUUAGUUAAAUGAUACUCACUGAUAUAAUCUGUGCAGUAGACUAACAAUAGAACAAUACUAGAACAUAACAGAAAAGAAUACAAGAAACAAAUAUGCGAAGCAGUAAAUGAUUACUAGAAGAAAUCACGAUUAAUAUUCCUCAAUAUCACGACCAAUCCUUUCCUUAGAGCGAUAACCAACAAACCACGGUAGUAAAUUCAUAACUUUCAUAGUGUGAGAAAUAUACUCAAGAUAUCAAAUCAAUGGCACAACAACACCCUUCAUGCAUUUAUCUCUUUCUCACCAAAUAUACGUAUAACAGUACCAACCAGAUGAAAAAAAAAUACCAAUCAGUAAUGACAAAGUGGAAAAUACACAAGUAGCAAUAACUAUCAAGGCAGUACAUAUGGACAACAGUAAUAGACUAGGUAGAAGGCAUGGGAGUAAUGACAACAAUUAGGAAAGAAGAACAUAAAUUUCACUAACUAACAUGGUAAAAGGCCUAUAUAUAGAUAUAACAAAAAAGAGGUAAAACAUGGUCUUUAUGAGCUAACAAAUAAGAGGCAUGAAUAACUAACAUGGUAAAAGGCUUAUACGAAAGUGCAACAAAUAAGAAACGGCAUGGAUGUAGAUAUGAUAACAAGAAGGAAAGCAUGAUAUUUGCAAGUUAAAACAGAUAGAAGGCAUGGACAACAUAACGGCAAUUGAGAUAGAGGACAAAGACAGAACAACAAUGACAACCACAUAGAAAACAUAGGUACAACAGUAACAACUCAAGGUAAAGGCAUGAAUAUAUACACAAGGAAAAUAUAUCACAACAUAAUGCAUGUCCCUCGUCCUCGCCUAUACGGAAACAACCUUUGUGCCAUGAAUACAUGAUAAUAUAAAAAUAUGAUAAUGUAAAUGAAGUGGCACGGUAUCACCCUUCGUGCUUUUACUCUCAUCCUCACAUGAUAAUAUAAAUGAAAUGGUACGGCAUCACCCUUCGUACUUUUACUCUCAUCCUCACAUGAUAGUGUAAAUGAUAGCAUGAUAAUAUAAAUAAAAUUACACAAUAUCACCCUUCGUUCUUUUACUAUCAUCCUCACAUGAUAAUGUAAAUGAUAGCAUGAUAAUAUAAAUGAAAUGGCACGGCAUCACCCUUCGUGCUUUUACUCGCAUCCUCACAUGACAAUAUAAAUGAAAUGGCACGGCAUCACCCUUCGUGCUUUAACCUCUUCCUCACAUGAUAAUGUUUAUGCAAUGGCACGACAUCACCCUUCGUGCUUUACACUAUUCCUCACCAAGCACAUGUAUAUCAAUAACAAGCAAGGUAGAAAACAUAAAUAACAUCAAGAGGGUGUUUAAGCGAAUAUUCCAAAUGAACAUCAAUCACAACUUUCAAGCCAAUAACAAUUCAAUAAACCUUAAGUACUUUAUUGCUCAAGUAUUUCAGUAAGUCUCAAAAAUGAUCUUCAACUCAAGUAUAGAAUCCAAUAUCUCAAGAAUAACGGUCGUAGCGACGUAUUAAUGAUUAAAAAAGGGUGAUGACCAAAUUUAACAUAUCAAUAGUUUCACAAAAAUCCGUCAAAUUUUAAUCAAAUUAUAAUAAGCUAAAUCUUGGUUUCUAACAUUUAAUUUCAUAUUCUUAGUAAUCUAGAAGUCAAGUGAGACAUGAAGCAAGAAGGUCACAUACUUCUAUAAGGCUCAAUUAAUCGUAUAACAUACCCCCGAGCAUGAUUAACCUAGGCACAUGCAUAUACGCUCGUCACCUCAUAUAUGCAUCACCCCUGCAUGUAGCAAACAAUGUCAAUUAGUAGGAAAAUUCCCUGAUGGUAGGCUAUAAUUGCGUAUUUUUGGUCAUUAAUUGCCCUCUAAUUCACUGCACUUUACUAGUGUUUGAGUUUUAAAUGGUAUUAUUUGGCACUAAGUAUGUGUUUUAUGCCUUAUAGGAACGAUUCCGAGUUACGAUGAGUUUGUGGAGCUAAUUCGAGCUAUUGUGGAGCUAAUUCGAGCUAUUGUGGAGCUUUGAAGUCUGAGUAAAAGCCUAAGGAUUAAGUUGGAAUCGUGUUUGGGGAUCAACAGACAAUAGUGCACUUAACGAGAGAAAUGAAGAGUUGAACGGGAGGCUCACCAAGAUGUACGACCGCAUAUGAGACCCCUCCAGCAGGCCCUUGAGCGCGCAAGUAAAGCAGUGCACCGCCAGAGGUGCGCGGCCAUAUGAGCGAUCACACCUUUAGGUGCGCGGCCACGCACGUCCAGUUCCGGAAACUUAUCCCAAGCCUAUUUUUGUAAUUUUGGAGGCGCCUCCUUUUGACCUAUAUGAAGCCUAGCUCAUCUAAAAAUAGGGUAUCUUGGAAUUUUAGAGCAACUUUUGGGAGAGAAGAAGAAAGGAAGCAACGGGAACGCAAAAUACUUGAUCCAAUUCAUUCAAUACGGAAGUUUGUUUGAUUUUGGGAAUUGUAAUGUCUUCUUGUUCUUCUAAUACUCUUGUGAUGAAUAACUUCUCCACUAUAGAGUAAUCUUUCUUAGGGUUAUUGACGAAUGUCGUGAUUUGACUAUUGUUUUGGAUUUUACUCUCUGUUCAUUGCCUGAAUUCAUUGAAUGAGUUAUUAAUUGAAUUGCAAGUCUAAUUGUGGUUUUACUUUAAUCCAAAGAGAAGUGUUGGUGCAAUUCGCAUUGUGCCAUAUUGUUUGGGUUGAUUUUACGCCUCUCAUAGGUAAUCGAAAGAGCUUAGAGAGUUAUCAAUUAACCUAGGUUAGAAGAAUAGUCGAGAGGCAUUCUUCGAAAGAUCAUUCAUUCACUAUAUUUGUGCAUAUGUUCAUAGGACGUGCUUUUAGGUUGAUUAAGGGAACUCUCAUUCAUUCAGAAGAAGAAUUUGAAUCCCCAAGGUAGCCUAAUCGUCUGUUGAAAUCGAAUGAGUCAAUAGAAGUUAAAAGUGAACUUAACAUAGAGUUACCCGGAAUAAUAGUUGAUCCAAUAUCUUGUCACAACCCUUACUUCUCACCUUGAUAUUCAAUCAUUUCUACUUAGUCAUUAGAUUGCCAUUAGUUUCUUACAAUCAAUAAUCUUAGUUUUAUUAGUAGUCGAUAAUAACAUAAAUCAAAGAUUUAUUAUCUCGAAUAGUGUUGAGCUGAAGAUUUAUUAGAAUAUUAUUUAAACCAAUCCCUAUGGAGACGAUUUAAUACUAUACCAUCUUUGACUAGCGAGCCUAAGUUUUAUACGCCGAUUUUGCACUCGUUAAAUUUUGGCGUCAUUGCCAGAGAUUGGCGAUUAAUAGUGUUUGAAUUAACUUUCGGUGCUAAUUCAGGAGUUAUUUUAUUUUGUUUUGUUUUUUUACGCUACUCUUUUAUCUGUGUGCAGGCAACAGGUUAAGUUUUGCGGUGUAUGACUCGAUCCUCUUCUAAGGAAUUGGUGCCAUACGAUCCAAAAUUAGACAAGCACUUGCGGCAUUUGAGAAGGGAGAGAGAAUCGAGCAGAUUGUUGUUGGGUCAGCCUUCAACUGAGAAUAAAAUGGUGAACAACGAAGAGGAGGUGGACCUAGCUGCGAGAGAGGUAGCUCAGUGACAGGAAGCACGGUUAGUAGUUGAAGCAGCCCGUAGAGUUGUGGAUGAAACAAUCGACGGGGAUAGAAGGUUCAAUCUCAACCGAACCAUGAUCGAAGAUAAAUUUGAAAAUGCAUCCCCUUGGCCUGGGAGGUCACUAGGAGAUUAUGCCUGACCGGUGUACAACCAACAAUAGUCUAGCGUGAGGCCCCCACCCAUUGAUGCCAAUAAUUUUGAACUCAAACAGGGAGUCAUCCAGACCAUUCAGAACAAUUGCAUAUUCAGAGAUAGAAGAAAAAGAGAGUGAAGAGCAAAAUGGCCAGAGUAGCAGGGUACAAAAGGAGAUUGAAGAAAGUAGACAUAUGCUAGCUCUACCAUUCCCUUAAAAGAUGAAGCGGGAGAAACUUGACAAAUGUUUUGGGUGAUUCCUGGAGAUGCUCAAGCAACUUUAUGUAAACAUUCCUUUCACAGAGGUACUCACUCAGAUGCCUGCUUAUGUCAAGUUCUUAAAGGAUAUCCUGUCGAGCAAGAGAAAAUUAGAGGAAACAAUUGUGGUUAAGCUAAACACCCACUGCAGUGCCAUCUUGCAAAAUAAAAUUCCCUAAAAGUGUGGGGACCCAGGAAGCUUCACCAUACCAUGCUCAUUGGGGAGUGAAAAAUUCUACAAGGCCCUCUACGAUUCUGGUGCGUCUAUAAAUCUAAUGUCUCUAUCUAUAUUCAUAAAACUGGAAGGUGAGCUUGGAGUGAUCAAAUCAAUAUCAGUGUCCCUACAACUGGCUGACCAAACUAUCAUUAUACCUGAGGGAAUCAUCGAGGAUAUUUUAGUACGGGUGGACAAGUUUAUGUUCCCCAUAGAUUUUAUUGUGGUGGAUAUGGAGGUGAACAAGGAGGUACCUCUAAUUCUAGGGAGGUCGUUCUUAUGUACAGGUAGAGCUAUCCUUAAUAUCUAUGAAAGGCAGCUUAUGCUCAGAGUGGGCAAUGAAAAUGUGGUGUUUCAGAUGAAGAGGGUGAUGAAAUACCCUAGUGAUGAGGCAUCCGCCUACUUGUGUUUCAAGUUAGACAUUGUUGGAGAAUUGACCGAAAAAUAUAAUUUUGACAAGCUUGUGGGGGAUACCCUAGAGAGGUGUAUUACUCAGUCUAGCACAGUGGAGGAUGAAGAUCUUGAAAUAAAGAAAGAGGUUGAAGCUCUUGAGACUAAGGAUCAAGUGGUUGAUGAGGAUGAACUAAAAGAGGAGGAUGCUAAGCCUAAUGUGGAAUUGCAAGUCCUCCCCACUCACUUAAAAUAUGCUUUUCUUGAAAAUAACAAUUUUCCUGUGAUUAUUUCUGCUGACUUGACAGGUACAUAGGAGCGAAAGCUGGUGGAGCUACUGAAAAAGCACAGGAAGGCCAUGGGAUGGAGUAUAGCUGAUAUUCACGGAAUCAGUCCGGCCAUUUGCAUGCACAAAAUUCUGUUGGAAGAAAAUAGCAAGCCAGUGAUGCAGCCUCAACACAAGCUGAACAAAAAUUUGGAGGAGGUAGUGCACAAGGAGAUCAUCAAAUUGCUAGAUGCAGGAGUAAUUUUUCCCAUCUCUGAUACCAAGUGGAUUAGUCCAGUAAAAGUUAUACCUAAGAAGGGGGGCAUGACAGUAGUGAAAAAUGAAGAUAAUGAAUUGAUCCCCAUAAGAACAGUCACUGGGUAGAGAAUGUGUAUUGAUUAUAGAAGGUUGAAUGAUGCAAUAAUGAAGGACCACUUCCCACUCCCCUUUUUUUGAUCAAAUGCUCGAGAAAGUGGCUGGACAUGGAUGCUACUGCUUCUUGGAUGGGUACUCAGGUUACAAUCAGAUACCCAUUGCUCCAGAAGAUGUUAAGAAGACCACAUUUACUUGCCCGUCAGGUAUUUUUGCUUAUAGAAGGAUGUCGUUUGGGCUAUGUAAUGCACCUGCCACUUUUUAGAGGUGCAUGAUGUCUAUAUUCUCUGAUUUAAACGAAAAGUGUUUAGAAGUAUUCAUGGAUGAUUUCAGCCUCUUUGGUGAUGACUUUGAGGACUGCUUGAAGAAUUUAGAGCUCGUGCUUGAACGUUGUGAAGCCAUACACUUGGUCCUUAACUGGGAGAAGUGUCACUUCAUGGUGAAGGAGGGAAUGGUCUUAGGCCACAAAAUGACUGCACAAGGAAUUGAAGUUGAUAGAGCGAAGGUUGAUGUGAUUGCUAGGCUCCCUCCACCAACUUUUAUGAAGAGCAUAAGGAGUUUCUUGGGACAUGGUGGGUUCUAUAGGAGGUUCAUCAAAAACUUUUCUAGCAUUACCAAACCAUCAAUUGUAUUGCUAGCAAAAGAUGUCAAGUUUGUUUUCAAUGUGGAGUGCUUAAGAGCUUUUGAAUUGAUAAAGGAAAAGCUUGUAAGUGCUCUUAUUAUGGUGACACCUGAUUAGAUCCAGCCAUUUGAGAUAAUGUGUGAUGCUAGUGAUGUAGUUGUAGGGGAAGUUCUGGGGUAAAGAAAAGAUAGAAUUUUUAGGCCAAUCUACUAUGCAAGCAAGACAUUAAAUGAUGCUCAAGUCAACUAUGCCACUACUGAAAAAGAGUUCUUUGUUGUGGUCUUUCUUCUUGACAAGUUUAGAUCAUACCUGGUGGGGAGCAAAGUGAUUGUACACACGGAUCACUCAGCUUUGAAAUAUCUUUUGAGCAAGAAGGAGUCCAAGUCGUGUCUGAUGCGGUGAGUGUUAUUGCUCCAAGAGUUUGACUUGGAGAUUAAAGAUAGGAAAGGCGCAGAAAAUCAAGUUGCCGAUCAUCUAUCUCGACUUGAGAGACCUCCAGUUGAAACAGUUAAAUAAGGGAAGAAUUCCCUGAUGAGCAUAUUUUCUCAAUUGUUGCGGUCUCCGAAAGGCCACCUUGGUAUGCUGAUGUAGCCAGCUUUUUGGCUGGUGGAUGAUUACCUCAUGACCUCUCUCGUGAUCAAAGAAGGAAGCUUCAAGAUGAGGUAAAAAUUUAUUUUUUGAAUGACCCUUUCUUGUUUAAACUGUGUAUAGAUGGUAUGAUUUGAAGAUGUGUGCCUGAAGGAGAGAUGGCAAGCGUUCUGUCUCAUUACCAUGAUGGAGCAGCUGGAGGACACUAUGGUGGAAAUCGCACUGCAGCAAAGGUCAUGGAAGCAUGUUUCUUUUGGCCUACUUUGUACAAAUACGCAAGAGCGUAUGUAGCUGCAUGUGACAAGUGUCAAAGGACAGUAAUAUUAGCAAGAGGGACGAAAUGCCUCUCAACUCAAUUCUAGUAUGUGAAAUUUUUUAUUUGUGGGGCAUUGACUUCAUGGGUCCAUUCCCAUCGUCCCAUUCUUAUGAGUAUAUCCUAGUAGUCGUUGACUAUGUCUCUAAGUGGGUCGAAGCAAUCCUUACUAGGACCAAUGAUGCUCCGAUGGUGUGUGAGUUCUUAAGAAAAAACAUCUUUACCCACUUUGGGACACCUCGAGUGAUUAUCAGUGAUAGUGGGUCACACUUUGUGAACAAGCAGUUUGCUACACUAUUGUCUAAGUAUGCGGUCACACAUAAAACAGGAACCCCGUGCCAUGCCCAAACUAGUGGGCAAGUUGAAGUGGCUAACCGUGAACUUAAACGAAUUCUUGAAAAGAUGGUUAGUGCUUCUCAUAAGGAUUUUUCUGUAAAGUUGGAAGAAGCUCUAUGGGCGUACAGAACUGCGUUCAAAACAACCAUAGGGACUUCACCGUUCAAACUAGUGUAUGAAAAAUUAUGUCACCUACAUGUUGAGAUAGAACAUAAAGCCAGUUAUAUGUUCUACCCACCUAACUGUUAUGUAUGUUAGUUAACCUCUUUGAGCAUGUAAUCUAGUUUAUUUGGCAACCACAUUACAAGUCUUGCCCAGUUAUUUGAAUUGACCAUCUAUUUGUACCUUUUACCUCUCAUGAGCACUUGAAUUUGUUAUGAACUUUGUAGAAGUUGAAGUGUGGGGUGGUUGGAUUGGCUUUUGUGUGGAACUAAUGAAAUAAGAAGAAAGGUGCACUAGUUUGAAAAAGUAAGAGCCACUUGAAUCGAAAUAAAAAUAUAUAUUGUAUGGGUGUGUAAAUAUUCCUUGAUAGUGGUAUCUCUUGAUGUAAUUGUGCUUAAAGAAAUAGGGAGUUAAUGUAUAUUGACGUGAAAGUGGAGUAAUGGUUUGAAAUAAGUGUGGGGUUUUGGAAGGUAAAUUGUAUGUAUUAAAGUGCUUAGAGAGGUGUAGUCACUCUUAUAUCUAAAUGUAUCAUAUCCAUCCCAUAGCUUACAUUACAACCAAUUAAAGUCCUACUUGAUCCUUGACUGAAUGAACUCGAUUAGUAGAGUAGUACACUAAGGGCAAGCCUAUAGUUCAUCUUUUGUGGCAUAUGAAUGUUGUUUCUGAGAGUGAGUGAAUUCUUUCUAUCUUGAGUUCUUAAUUAUUUGUAAUGUUUAUUGUGUGGAACUACUCUCUAUUUUUGUGGGAGGGCACUGGAUUCACGAAGGAAAGGUAAUGCUUGACCUCUGUGUUAGAGUAAGUGAGUGAGUUAUAAAUAAUGUGUGGUGCUUUUGAGUCAAAUCUUGAGGUUAAGAUGUACGAUAUUGUACUUAAUCUAUUUUAAAGAGUCUUGGUAUGAUGAGUCAUGAGAGUUGUUGAAAAAGGUCGUAUUUUAGGUGAAGUGUAGUUUGAUUGCUCGAGGACGAGCAAUGGUUUAAGUAUGGGGUGUUGAUGGUAGGCUACAAUUGCGUAUUUUUGGCCAUUAAUUGACUUCUAAUUCGCUGCACUUUACUAGUGUUUGAGCUUUAAAUGAUAUUAUUUGGCAUUACGUAUGUGUUUUAUACCUUGUAGGAGCGAUUUUGAGUUACGAUGAGGUUGUGGAGCUAAUUCGAGCUAUUGUGGAGCUUUGAAGUCUGAGUAAAAGCUAAAGGAUUAAGUUGGAAUCGUGUUCGGGGAUCAACGGACAAUAGUGCACUUAAAGGGAGAAACGAAGAGUUGAGCAGGAGGCUCACCCAGAUGCGCGACCGCGCAUGAGACCCUUCCAACGCGCACUUGAGCGCACAACUAAAGCAGUGCACUGCCAGAGGUGCGUGUCCAUAUAUGCGAUCACACCUACAGGUGCGCGGCCGCGCACGUCCAGUUCCGGAAACUUUUCCCAAGCCUAUUUUUGUAAUCUCUGAGGCGCCUCCUUUCGACCUAUAUGAAUCCUAGCUCAUCUAAAAACAGGUUAUCUUGGAAUUUUAGAGCAACUUUUGGAAGAGAAGAAGAAAGGAAACAACGGGAACACAAAAUACUCGAUCCAAUUCAUUCAAUACAGAAGUUUAUUUGAUUUUGGGAAUUGUAAUGUCUUCUUGUUCUUCUAAUACCCUUGUGAUGAAUAACUUCUCCAUUAUGGAGUAAUCUUUCUUAGGGUUAUUUACGGAUGUCGUGAUUUGACUAUUAUUUUGGGUUUUACUCUCUCUUCAUUGCCCGAAUUCAUUGAAUGAGUUAUUAAUUGAAUUGUAAGGCUAAUUAUGGUUUUACUUUAAUCGAAAGAGAAGUGUUGCUGCAAUUCGCUUUGUGGCAUAUUGUUUGGGUUGAUUUUACGCCUCUCAUAGGUAAUCGAAAGAGCUUAGAGAGUUAUAAAUUAACCCAUGUUAGAAGAAUAGUCGAGAGGCAUUCUUCGAAAGAUCAUUCAUUCACUGUAUUUGUGCAUAUGUUCAUAGCAACUGCUAUUAGGUUGAUUAAGGGAACUCUCGUUCAUUCAGAAGAAGAAUUUGAAUCCCUAAGGUAGCCUAAUCGUCUGUUGAAAUCGAAUGAGUCAAUAGAAGUUAAGAGUGAACUUAACACAAAGUUACCCGGAAUAAUAGUUGAUCACAUAUCUUGUCACAGCCCUUACUUCUCACCUUGAUAUUCAAUCGUUGCUACUUAGUCAUUAGAUUGCCAUUAGUUUCUUACAAUCAAUAACUUUAGUUUUAUUAGUAGUCGAUAAUAACACAAAUCAAAGAUUUAUUAUCUCGAAUAGUGUUGAGCUGAAGAUUUAUUAGAACAUUAUUUAAACCAAUCCAUGUGGAGACGAUUUAAUACUAUACUAUCUUUGACUAGUGAGCCUAAAUUUUAUACACCGAUUUUGCGCUCAUCAUUCCCUUUACAAAGAUAGGCCAGACACUUACAUCAAACAAGCCCAAUCGUUACACUAGAAGCGCCAUCCCGCUCAAAUCAUCCCCUGAACGACUCGAAACUAGCUAAAAGCAACUCAAAAUCAUCAAAUAAUGCCAUAGGAAGCAAACCCAAUCAAUAAAGGUCGAAUAUUUACAUAUUUACUCAAAGUCAACAAAAAAUUCAAACUGGGGACCACACCUCAGAACCCGACAAAACUCAUAAAAUUUGAUAACCUAUUUAAUUACGAGUCCAACCAUACUAAUUUCACUCAAUUCCGACUACGAAUCAAUGUUCAAAACUCAAAAAUUCACUUUAGAAAAAUUUAGACAAAACCCCCAAUUUCUCUUUUGAAAUCAUCAAUCAAUUGCUAAAAAUAAAGAUGGAAUCAUGAAAUAUAAUCAAAACCAAGUAGAGAAUACUUACCCCAAUCUAUGUGUUGGAAAUCACCUAAAUCCGAGCUCCCCAACUCAAAAUGUUAUGAAAUAACUCAGAGUUUGAAAAUAUAGUACUUUAUAAUAACUGGGCAGCAAUACACAUCGCGAUCGCAGGACAUCCUUUGCGAUCACGAAGAACAAAUGCUACUACCAUCAAAAUACUCUACGCGUUCGCGAUACUGGCCACGCGGACGCGAUGACCACAUGCGCUAAAUCUCUACGAACGCGAACUGACUUGCGCAAAUGCGAUGAAGAAUUCUCCAGCUCCUGCUCCCGCUCAACCCUACGCGUCCGCGAUACCCCAUGCACGAACGUGAACUGUAACCAAUCUAACCCUUCGCGAUCGCAUAACAUUUAUCGUGUCCGUGAUGAAAAAAUCCACCAGUAGACCAAAUUACUCUUCGCGAUCGCGACUGGACCUUCGCAAUCAUGAAGAACACUAGGGGCAUCAGAUAACAGCAGAAACCGUCAAUGCAUGAAAACUCCAAAAUGGUCCGAAAUCAACCCGAAACGCACCUGAGCCCCUCGUGACCCCGUCCAAACAUACCAACAAGUCCCAUAACAUAACAUAGACUUACUCAUGCCUAACAACAUCAAAACUACAAAAUCGCACCUUAAAUCGAACUUAAUAAACUUUUAACUUUCAACUUCUAAAUCUCGUGCCGCAUCAUACCAAAUCAACUCGGGUUGACCUCAAAUUUUUGCACACAAGUUCCAAAUGACAUAACGAAGCUAUUCCAACUCUCGGAACCAAAAUUUGAUCCCAAUAUCACUAAAGUCAACUUCCGGUCAAACUUAUGAAUAUUCCAAAACUCCAAAUUGCCAACUUUCGUCAAUUAACAUCAAAACCUUCAAGAAACAUCCAAAUGCAAAUUCGUGAAUACGCCCAAGUCCAAAAUCACCGUCCAGAUCUAAUAGAACUGUCAAAACUCCGAUCAGGGAUCAAAUAUAUAAAAGUCAAACUUAGUCAACUCUUCCAACUCAAAACUUUUAAACGGAAUGUAAAUGCUCAAAACGACCGGUCAGGUCGUUACAUUUAAAUAAAGAGAUAAGGUCUAAAUUUAAUCAUCAAUUAAUACCCUAUCUAGUAGGUGCACAAUAACUUGACAAAAUAAUUAUAACGUAAAUAUAAUUAUCUAUAAAGUUGUGAAAAAAUAUUUAAAAAAUUAUGAAAACAUGAUAUCAACACCAAAUAUCAUUAGCUAUAGAUUUUUUAUUGUAAAAGACCUCAAUAGAUUGAGAGAGGUUAAUAUGAUAGAAUAACUAUUGUGGCUUUUCAUAACUAUGCAAGUUCACUUAAAUGUCUCCUCCUCCCCUUAACACAAAAGAGAAUACAAAACGGUCAAAUAAGUUCAAAAAAUGUUAAAGGAGAAAAACUGAAGCUCAUGCAGUAAAGGGAUCGAGAAUAAAACAUACUAGUGUAUGAUUCUAGAGGGAUCGUAGAUGGAGAAGCUUUUAGAGCUACCUUCUUUUAAUAAAUAUCAACAACAACAACAACAACAACAAUAACAAUAACCCAGUAUAAUCCCACUAGUGGGGUCUGGGGAGGGUAUUGUGUACGCAGACCUUACCCCUACCUUGGGGUAGAGAGGCUGUUUUCGAUAGACCCUCGGCUCCCUCCCUCCAAGAACUACCCACCUUGCUCUUGGGGUGACUCGAACUCACAACCUCUUGGUUGAAAGUGGAGGGUGCUCACUACUAGAGCAACACACUCUUGUCAUAUCUUUUUAUAAAUAUCAAUUUGUUGAUUUUGAUGAUGCGCUUCAUAAAAUUUAUCUCGUUCCACACUGUAAUUUCCCAGCUUUCUAAUAUGGAUUUGCACAGUUACAGAAUAAAUCAUGGUUAUAUAACAUCAUAAUUUUAUAUAGUAAAAAAGACUACAAUGAAACUCAAUAAGUUUAGUCUGCUUCUAAUACUGUAUCAUGAGAUGAGAAUCUCUAACAAUUUCAUUUUAUGAUUAUCAAAAUCCAAAAUUUAUCUAUAAAAUAAAGAUUCCACUCAAAUAUUUGUAUCUCUAUAACACAAAAAGGCAAAACAAACACAAAAAUACAACAUGUAAAAGAUAACUUUCGUGAAUUAGGAUAUGAGGAGAUAUGCUUUAAUAUUGUUACGAAGUCCAUGUACGUACGGGAAUUAUAUUCUUAUAGUAUUAUGAGACUUAGACUCCAAGAAAUCUUUGUUUAUAUAUUUUGUUAUAUUUCAUGUUUGAAUUUAUGAAAGAGAGGAUUUUUUUAAAAUAGUAUCAGAGCAAGUUAUUGAAUAUUUUUUUUUGUCUCUUCUCUUCACAGUUCACAAUUUAAUAGCGAGACAAAAGGAGCUAUGGAUGACGACUUAAUUUUUGAACGUGCGUCAUCCAUAUUACUCUAUGGAUAUAGUGAUUCAGAUUGGGGAGGUAACGUUGAUGAUCGUAGGUCCACUGUUGGAUUUGCUAUUUUUUCUUGUUGGCUUGCACUUGAUUUCUUAGGCCUCUCUGAAGCGAAAAAUUAUCUCGCAGUCAAGCACUAAGGUAGAAUAUUGAGCACUAGUUAUUGCCAUGUCUGGAAUCACAUGUGGUACACCUCCCUUUUCCUGAAGGUAUAGGAUUUGUUUUCCAAUUUAAAGUGACAUGAUUCAAAAUGAGAUUAUUUAUUUAUUUAUUCAGAGUCACCACUUGGAAUAAUUUAUGGUGUCUCAAGUCACCGGAUUAUUUUAAAUCCCAAAUCGAGAAAAUUUGACUCUGUUUAAAGUCUGCAAAUACAUAAGACCGGGUAAGGAAUUCUGUUAACUCGGAAAAAUGUGUUAUGCAUUCCCGAGUUCCGUGGUUUUAGCACGGUCGCUUAACUAUUAAUAAUUGGUUAAUUACCUGAUUUAUUAUAUAUUUGGAACCUAUUGUGCAUUUUUAACUUCUAACCGCUUUUAAUAGAGUUUUAAUUGCUUUUAGGAUUUAUGAAAUUUAUUUGAAUAAGUCGCGAUAUCGCGCACUUAUUAUUUUUUUUACACAUUGUGAAUCGUGUCACGUGAAAUGUACCCGCGGUCUACAACAUGUUUAUUUUUAUUAUUGUUUGAAGUUGAGAUCGAGUCACGUGAAACGCACACUCGAAUUGGGGUUAUGUAUCAUGACUAUGCCACGGAAAAUGUACCCAUAGUCACGAUAAUUUAUUAAUCGCGCCAAAAGCAAGCUACGAAUUUGAAAUAUUUUUCCUCAUUUGAGAUUAUUGCAAAGCAUGAGAUUUAUGAAAGAUUAUUAUGGAGGAAAUAGAGUAAAUUAAUUAUAGAAAAAGGUAGGCUAGCUUAUGAAUUUUAUUAAUAUGCCUUGUAGAAUCUUGUCAUUUGGUCCAAGAGCUAAAAAAAGUAAAAAUAAAAUGUGGUUCAUUACUCUACUCUAAUCCCAAUUGACCAAAUGGUCCAAAUGCUAUUUAUGAUACCAAACCCCAAACCUUUAUCUUAAAAUCUAAAAUGUUUAUCACAUGUCCAUCAUCACCCCUAACAAAUGUUAACAAACAGAAAACAAUUUAACAGCUUAUGCAAAUUACGAACAGGAAAAGAAAGAAGAAAGAAAAAUUAAAUGAAAGAAAAAAUAAUAAAUUUAAAAAAAAACACUCAAACAAUCAGCACCUAUUUACAAGAAAAAUUCGCUCAAAAGGAAACUAUGAUUCCAAUUUAACAAACUUAAGACACUUUCGAAAGCUAAUCAUAAGAAGAACUAAAUAAUCAAGCUCAUAUAGCAGAAUAAAAGAAACUCAAUCCAUUUUCCACAUAUUACACAAAUAAAAAAUAUAUAUACUCAUAUGCUUAAGAAUAGAAUUAAAAAUUCAGUGAGAAAAACCAAUCUUAAUGGCUGAGAAGAAAACCAGAUCAAAGCAAAAAAGACCGACGAACCGAAGCUGUAAGCGAGAACCUCGAACGACUUCGAACUUUAAUUCUUACCUCGCUGAAUAAACGGCCUAUUAGUGUGUUUUGUGAGCUACGUUUUUGUAGGUUGUUUAGAGUAGAGAAGAGUGGUUUUCAAGCUGAAUUUAUGGGGAUCUCCAGCGAGUUUUGGGACUAUUUGCUAAAGGAUGGAACUUAGCUCAUGGGUUUUGGGUGAUUUUUGGCUGUAGAUCUCAAUUGCUGCGUUUUUCAGAAGAUAUUUCUGAUGAAGUGGUGUUGGAAGCAACAAUGAAUUCUUCUUCUUGUUGUUGCAUUAUCAUCUACCAUGUUUUCCAAUCGAAGGUCCUUGAGCUUAUCCAAGAUCCACCCGUUUUUCCCUCUUUAAAUUCCCUCACUCCCGAUCUGCCUUUUUCUCUUAUUUUUUAUUUUUUUGAUCUGUUGUGGAUCCCCUCUUGAAUCAUAGAAUGAGAGCCUUUUAAUGAUGUAGGUUAUUUUAGGGGGAAAAUCUGAUGGGGUUUUGGCUAUUGGGCUCAGAUUUGGCCCAAUUUGGGCCAUGACUUGGGCAUUUGAACAAAGCAAGACUUUAGGAGAACUAGUCCAAAUUAAAACUUUUUUUUUGUGAUUGUAAUUUUCUUUUAGGAUUUAUGAAAUUUAUUUGAAUAAGUUUCAAUGUCGCGCACUUAUUGUUUUUGUACACAUUAUGAAUCACGUCACGUGAAACACACCCGCGGUCUGCAACAUGUUUAUUUUUAUUAUUGUUUGAAGUUGAGAUCGAGUCACGUGAAACGCGCACUCGAAUUGGGGUUAUGUAUCAUGACUAUGGCACGGGAACCGUAUCCACAAUCACGAUGAUCGCGACUAAAGCAAGCUACAAAUUUGAACUAUUUUUCCUUUUUUGAGAUUAUUGCAAAGCAUGAGAGUUAUGGAAGAUUAUUAUGGAAGAAAUGGUGUAAAUUAAUUAUAAAAAAAGGUAGGCUAGCUUAUGAAUUUUAUUAUUAUGGGCCUUGUAGAAUCUUGUCAUUUGACCCAAGAACUAAAAAAAAUCUGGUUCAUUACUCUACUCUAAUCCUAGUUGACCGAAUGACCCAAAUGUUAUUUAUGAUAUCAAACCCCAAACUUUUAUCUUAAAAUCCAAAAUGUUCAUCAUAGAUCCAUCAUCACCCCUAACAAAUGUUAACAAACAGAAAACAACUUAAAACAACUUAUGCAAAUUACGAACAGGAAAAGAAAGAAUAAAGAAAAAUUAAAUGAAAGAAAAAUAAUAAAUUUAAAAAAAAACACUCAAAGAAUCAACACCUAUUUACAAGAAAAAAUCGCUCAAAAGGAAACUAUGAUUCCAAUUUAACAAACUUAAGACACUUUCGAAAGCUAAUCAUAAGGACUAAAUAAUCAAGCUCAUAUAGCAGAAUAAAAGAAACUCAAUUCAUUUUCCACAUGUUACACGAAUCAAAAACAUAUAAUCAUAUGCUUAAGAAUAGAAUUAAAAAUAUAGUGGGAAAAACCAACCUUAAUGGCUGAGAAGAAAACCGGAUCAAAACAAAAGAAGACUGACGAACCGGAGCUGUAAUCGAGAACCUCGAACGACUUCAAACUUUAAUUCUUACCUUGCUGAAUAAAUGACCUAUGAGUGCGUUUUGUGAGCUACGUUUUUGUAGGUUGUUUAGAGUAGAGAAGGGUGGUUUUCAAGCCGAAUUUAUGGGGAUCUCCAGCGAGUUUGGGGACUAUUUGCUAACGGAUGGAACUUAGCUCAUGGGUUUUGGGUAAUUUUUGGCUGUAGAUCUCAAUUGCUGCGUUUUUCAGAUGAUGUUUCUGAUGAAGUGGUGUUGGAAGCAACAAUGAAUUUUUCUUCUUCUUGUUGCAUUAUCAUUUGCCCUGUUUUCCAAUCGAAGGUCCUUGAGCUUAUCCAAGAUCCACCAGUUUUCCCCUCUUUAAAUUCCCUCACUCUCGAUUUGCCUUUUUCUCUCGUUUUUUAUUUUUUAAUCUGUUGCGGCUCCCCUCUUGAAU
rnacentral:lncRNA from 1 species